UCCAUGCUUCCAAGAAAAGCAUCUAGAGAGAGAAGUAGUGCCCGUACCGCAAACCGACACAGGUAGAUGAGGAGAGAAUCCUAAGGCCGGCGGAAGAAUUGCAGUUAAGGAACUAGGCAAAUUGACCCCGUAAGUUAGCGAGAAGGGGUGCCUGCGAGAGCAGGCCGCAGAGAAUAGGCCCAAGCAACUGUUUAGCAAAAACACAGGUCUCUGCUAAAGCGCAAGCUGAUGUAUAGGGGCUGACGCCUGCCCGGUGCUGGAAGGUUAAGGGGAACACUUAGCGCAAGCGAAGGUGUGAACUUAAGCCCCAGUAAACGGCGGCCGUAACAAUAACGGUCCUAAGGUAGCGAAAUUCCUUGUCAGGUAAGUUCUGACCCGCACGAAUGGCGUAAUGACUUGGGCACUGUCUCAACUGCAAAUCCGGCGAAGUUGUAGUGCGAGUGAAGGUGCUCGCUACCCGCGAUUGGACGGAAAGACCCCGUAGAGCUUUACUGUAGCUUAGCAUUGAAUUCCGGUAUUGUCUGUACAGGAUAGGUGGGAGACUGGGAAACUAGGGCGUCAGCCUUAGUGGAGUCGUCCUUGGGAUACCACCCUGACAGUACUGGGGUUCUAACAGGACGCCAUGAAUCUGGUGACUGGACAUUGUUAGGUGGGCAGUUUGACUGGGGCGGUCGCCUCCUAAAAAGUAACGGAGGCGCCCAAAGGUUCCCUCAGAACGGUCGGAAAUCGUUCGUAGAGUGCAAAGGCAGAAGGGAGCCUGACUGCGAGACCUACAAGUCGAGCAGGGACGAAAGUCGGGCUUAGUGAUCCGGUGGUACCACGUGGGAGGGCCAUCGCUCAACGGAUAAAAGCUACCUCGGGGAUAACAGGCUGAUCUCCCCCAAGAGUCCACAUCGACGGGGAGGUUUGGCACCUCGAUGUCGGCUCGUCGCAUCCUGGGGCUGUAGUAGGUCCCAAGGGUUGGGCUGUUCGCCCAUUAAAGCGGCACGCGAGCUGGGUUCAGAACGUCGUGAGACAGUUCGGUCCCUAUCCGUCGCGGGCGUAGGAAAUUUGAGAGGAGCUGUCCUUAGUACGAGAGGACCGGGAUGGACUGACCUCUGGUGCACCAGUUGUUCUGCCAAGAGCAUGGCUGGGUAGCUAAGUCGGGAAGGGAUAAACGCUGAAAGCAUCUAAGCGUGAAGCCUCCCUCAAGAUGAGAUUUCCCAUAGCAUAAGCUAGUAAGACCCCUUGAAGAACACGAGGUUGAUAGGUCAGAGGUGUAAGUGUGGUAACAUAUUUAGCUGACUGAUACUAAUAGGUCGAGGGCUUGACC
rnacentral:rRNA from 1 species